UGGGGAAUAUUGGACAAUGGGCGCAAGCCUGAUCCAGCCAUGCCGCGUGAGUGAUGAAGGCCCUAGGGUUGUAAAGCUCUUUCACCGGUGAAGAUAAUGACGGUAACCGGAGAAGAAGCCCCGGCUAACUUCGUGCCAGCAGCCGCGGUAAUACGAAGGGGGCUAGCGUUGUUCGGAUUUACUGGGCGUAAAGCGCACGUAGGCGGACUUUUAAGUCAGGGGUGAAAUCCCGGGGCUCAACCCCGGAACUGCCUUUGAUACUGGAAGUCUUGAGUAUGGUAGAGGUGAGUGGAAUUCCGAGUGNAGAGGUGAAAUUCGUAGAUAUUCGGAGGAACACCAGUGGCGAAGGCGGCUCACUGGACCAUUACUGACGCUGA
rnacentral:rRNA from 1 species